UACGAAGGGGGCUAGCGUUGCUCGGAAUCACUGGGCGUAAAGGGUGCUUAGGCGGGUCUUUAAGUCAGGGGUGAAAUCCUGGAGCUCAACUCCAGAACUGCCUUUGAUACUGAAGAUCUUGAGUUCGGGAGAGGUGAGUGGAACUGCGAGUGUAGAGGUGAAAUUCGUAGAUAUUCGCAAGAACACCAGUGGCGAAGGCGGCUCACUGGCCCGAUACUGACGCUGAGGCACGAAAGCGUGGGGAGCAAACAGG
rnacentral:rRNA from 1 species